rnacentral:misc_RNA from 1 species
UUUCCGUAGGUGAACCUGCGGAAGGAUCAUUACCAGGUGCCGGCUCCGGUCGUGAUGACCGUCGAGAGGCAUUCUAAACCCUCUGUGAACCAAAAAAACAUUCGCUUCGGCGGCAGCCUCGGUCGGAGACGACCCCGGCGUCAGCCCGCCGUUAGCACCAACGUCAAAAACUUGUAUUCUCGAACAUUGUCUGAUGACCAAAUUUUCGAAUGAAAAUCAAAACUUUCAACAACGGAUCUCUUGGUUCCCGCAUCGAUGAAGAACGCAGC